rnacentral:rRNA from 1 species
AAAUUGAAGAGUUUGAUCAUGGCUCAGAUUGAACGCUGGCGGCAGGCCUAACACAUGCAAGUCGAACGGUAACAGGAAGCAGCUUGCUGCUUCGCUGACGAGUGGCGGACGGGUGAGUAAUGUCUGGGAAACUGCCUGAUGGAGGGGGAUAACUACUGGAAACGGUAGCUAAUACCGCAUAAUGUCGCAAGACCAAAGAGGGGGACCUUCGGGCCUCUUGCCAUCGGAUGUGCCCAGAUGGGAUUAGCUUGUUGGUGGGGUAACGGCUCACCAAGGCGACGAUCCCUAGCUGGUCUGAGAGGAUGACCAGCCACACUGGAACUGAGACACGGUCCAGACUCCUACGGGAGGCAGCAGUGGGGAAUAUUGCACAAUGGGCGCAAGCCUGAUGCAGCCAUGCCGCGUGUAUGAAGAAGGCCUUCGGGUUGUAAAGUACUUUCAGCGGGGAGGAAGGGAGUAAAGUUAAUACCUUUGCUCAUUGACGUUACCCGCAGAAGAAGCACCGGCUAACUCCGUGCCAGCAGCCGCGGUAAUACGGAGGGUGCAAGCGUUAAUCGGAAUUACUGGGCGUAAAGCGCACGCAGGCGGUUUGUUAAGUCAGAUGUGAAAUCCCCGGGCUCAACCUGGGAACUGCAUCUGAUACUGGCAAGCUUGAGUCUCGUAGAGGGGGGUAGAAUUCCAGGUGUAGCGGUGAAAUGCGUAGAGAUCUGGAGGAAUACCGGUGGCGAAGGCGGCCCCCUGGACGAAGACUGACGCUCAGGUGCGAAAGCGUGGGGAGCAAACAGGAUUAGAUACCCUGGUAGUCCACGCCGUAAACGAUGUCGACUUGGAGGUUGUGCCCUUGAGGCGUGGCUUCCGGAGCUAACGCGUUAAGUCGACCGCCUGGGGAGUACGGCCGCAAGGUUAAAACUCAAAUGAAUUGACGGGGGCCCGCACAAGCGGUGGAGCAUGUGGUUUAAUUCGAUGCAACGCGAAGAACCUUACCUGGUCUUGACAUCCACAGAACUUUCCAGAGAUGGAUUGGUGCCUUCGGGAACUGUGAGACAGGUGCUGCAUGGCUGUCGUCAGCUCGUGUUGUGAAAUGUUGGGUUAAGUCCCGCAACGAGCGCAACCCUUAUCCUUUGUUGCCAGCGGUCCGGCCGGGAACUCAAAGGAGACUGCCAGUGAUAAACUGGAGGAAGGUGGGGAUGACGUCAAGUCAUCAUGGCCCUUACGACCAGGGCUACACACGUGCUACAAUGGCGCAUACAAAGAGAAGCGACCUCGCGAGAGCAAGCGGACCUCAUAAAGUGCGUCGUAGUCCGGAUUGGAGUCUGCAACUCGACUCCAUGAAGUCGGAAUCGCUAGUAAUCGUGGAUCAGAAUGCCACGGUGAAUACGUUCCCGGGCCUUGUACACACCGCCCGUCACACCAUGGGAGUGGGUUGCAAAAGAAGUAGGUAGCUUAACCUUCGGGAGGGCGCUUACCACUUUGUGAUUCAUGACUGGGGUGAAGUCGUAACAAGGUAACCGUAGGGGAACCUGCGGUUGGAUCACCUCCUUAUCUUAAAGAAGC